GGAGGGACUAGUCACAGGGAAACGACGCAAGUGAGGGACGCAAGGAAUCGAUUUAACCGAAGUGAGAAGGGCCCCAUUUAACCGAAGUGAGAAGGGCCCCGUGUCUCAAUUCAUGGCUUGCAUACUUCGAAGGGUGCAUUCGUAGACCGCUUACGUCACUUCCGCCGAAAGAAGGCUGUCCCAAUUUAAAAAAAGACGAGACUCCUCCGAAUGCGGCCCACGAAUGCAGCCUACUUUUCCCCAAUUUGAAGGAUACAUCUGAUGUACACUCCGCGGCCUACCAUAUCCCAGGGUGCAAUGCGCGCAGGGAAGAGGGAGUUUUUUUCAAAUGAAAUGGCUUCCGGUCUCCCCAGCAGAGUGGAUUUAAAAGCACCAGCGAGCGGAGGAAUCACUAAUAAAUGACAAUUCUGGAGAAAUGGAUCUGCUGGAGAAGGACCCCUAAUCUGAAAAGUGCACAGCGGAUCAUCAGGACAGAGCUCCAUCCACCUGGACCCCCCGAGGAGCUGGAAAAGGACCCCUAACCCCAGCGGAUCAUCAGGACAGAGCUCCAUCCACCUGGACCCCCCGAGGUGCUGGAGAAGGACCCCUAACCCCAGCGGAUCAUCAGGACAGAGCUGCCAUCCAGCUGGACCCCCCGAGGUGUUGGAGAAAGCAAAGCGGCGAUCAGGAACAUCCUCCACCCAGACCUCUGCUUACUGCCGUCCUACAGACUUGUGUCUUACUUUCAGAAUUUGAUUUUGUAUGUGUCCUUUCUUUUAAUAGAUAUCUAACGAUUAUGGCUUGAGUCUGUCUGAUUCCCCAAACAGCUGCUUCUAUAUACUUGCUGCACAUAUAAUACAAAUAAACAACUCCAUAAACACA